rnacentral:rRNA from 1 species
GAUGAACGCUAGCGGCAGGCCUAACACAUGCAAGUCGAGGGGUAGCAGGAUUAAGCUUGCUUAAUUGCUGACGACCGGCGCACGGGUGCGUAACGCGUAUGCAACCUACCUUAUACUGGGGUAUAGCCCGGAGAAAUUCGGAUUAAUCCCCCAUAGUACUAAUGAAUCGCAUGGUUUAUUAGUUAAAGCAUUGCGGUAUAAGAUGGGCAUGCGUCCUAUUAGCUAGAUGGUGAGGUAACGGCUCACCAUGGCUACGAUAGGUAGGGGGGCUGCGGGGUCGGCCCCCCACCCGGGAAAGGAGACCGGAACCAGACCCGUACGGGAGGGAGCAUGGAGGAAUAUUGGUAAAGGGGCGCAAGCUUAACCCAGCCAUGCCGCGUGCAGGAAGAAGGCCUUAUGGGUUGUAAACUGCUUUUAUUUGGGAAAAACCCUCUUUACGUGUAGGGAGCUGGGGGUACCAAAUGAAAAAGCACCGGCUAACCCCGUGCAACAAGCCGCGGUAA